CCAGUAAUCAAUAAUCCUUCUAAAUCUCCCAUUUGGCGAAAUGUUGGACAUGAGUUCUGUGGUAGUACUUGAUGAAUCAUCAUCACUGGAUGUGGUAGACGAACAUGACUCCCAUACCCUCAACGAAUUACCAUCUUCUUCUGUCUUAAUAGCAGCCAAAUCAAGUCCGUGUUCACCAAGUCCUUCUUCCUCAUCAUCACGGCAGAAGUCUCCACUAGCCACCAACAAGGAACCUCUAUCAUUCUCAGGCGCAAAAUCCCUCAAUAAAUCCCAAGUUGAACAAGCGUUAUCGAUCACCGGUAACGUCAUUGAAGGCGGCGGCUUCAACAGCGGCGGCC
rnacentral:misc_RNA from 1 species